AUUGAACGCUGGCGGCAUGCUUUACACAUGCAAGUCGAACGAGUGGCGAACGGGUGAGUAAUAUGUCUAACCGUACCUAGUAAUGGGGGAUAACCAAUCGAAAGAUUGGCUAAUCCCGCAUAUUAUUCGAGCGGCCGAUAACUGAUUAGCUAGUUGGUGGGGUAAAGGCCUACCAAGGCGACGAUCAGUAGCGGGUCUGAGAGGACGAGCGGCCACACUGGGACUGAGACACGGCCCAGACUCCUACGGGAGGCAGCAGUGGGGAAUUUUGGACAAUGGGGGCAACCCUGACCCAGCCAUGCCGCGUGUAUGAAGAAGGCCUUCGGGUUGUAAAGUACUUUUGUUAGGGAAGCGGUACCUAAAGAAUAAGCACCGGCUAACUACGUGCCAGCAGCCGCGGUAAUAC
rnacentral:rRNA from 1 species